GGAGUCAUUCACCCAACAUACAAAUCAGCAUGCCAAGCCCUCGGAUUUCUCGAUGAUGACACCGAGUGGAUUGACUGUAUCAAUGAAGCAUCAAGUUGGGCAUCCGGAACACGACUGCGUCAGUUAUUCACCACCAUAUUGUCCCAUUGCGAAGUCACAAACCCAAAGGUAUUGUGGGAUUCAACAUGGGAGGCGUUGUGUGAAGAUAUGCAAUACAAAAGAAGGACUAUUCUAAACUUUCCAACACUUCGGCUUACAAACACACAGAAGAAAGCAUAUGGUCUGAUUGAGAUAGAAAAACUGAUGAGGCAAGUAGGAAAGUCACUAAAGGACUAUCCAGACAUAGAACUACCAAAUGCCGCAGAGCUAGAAGAACUUGGGAACAGACUAAUAAACGAAGAGGUCAACUACGACAUGGACAAACUCAAGGAUGAGCACAAAAUCAUACUAAACAAUCUUAACCAAGACCAGAAAACGGCCUAUGAUGCAAUAAUGGAGUCAGUCGACAAAGGCCUAGGAAAGCAGAUAUUUGUCGAAGGGUACGGUGGCACAGGAAAAACCUAUCUAUGGAAAGCAAUAACGACAAAGCUAAGAUCAGAGGGGAAGAUAGUGCUUGCGGUAGCAUCAUGUGGCAUUGCAGCGUUGCUUCUCCAAGGUGGAAGAACGGCACACUCAAGGUUCCGUUUUCCACUUAAUAUCACUGAAGAAUCAACGUGUGAAAUAAAACAAGGCUCGCAUUUGGCUGAACUGCUAAAGAAGACCUCACUUAUAUUGUGGGACGAGGCUCCUAUGGCAAACAAACACUGCUUCGAGGCACUAGACAAAAGCCUUAGAGAUAUUCUAAGGUUCACUAAUGAAAACAGCGAUGAAAAGCCAUUUGGUGGGAUGACAGUUAUACUAGGAGGCGACUUCAGACAAAUCCUGCCAGUUAUAACCAAAGGAAGGAGAGAGCAGAUAGUAAAUGCUUCAAUCAAAAGGUCAUAUCUGUGGAAACACUUUGAAAUAUUUGAGUUAACACAAAACAUGCGGCUGAAGUGUCUGUCAGAUGAUCCAAUACAAAAGCAAAAGGUUGCUGAAUUUGCAGAGUGGAUACUACAGAUUGGCGAUGGGAAAACAACAUCAGAUGAAGGAGAGGAUUGGAUAAAAAUACCAAAAGACCUACUGCUAGAGAAAGGAGAAAAUCGUAAACAAAUCGUCAAAAGCAUAUACCCAAAUUUGCUGCAAAAAUACCGUGAGCGGGAUUACCUAAGCCUGGACACAGUGUGCAAGGCAACGACAAAUACCAACAUCAUGAUGAACAUGCAGCCUACUGAGUUCCUCAACACCUUAACGUCCCCAGGAAUACCAGACCAUAAGUUAAAACUGAAGGUGGGUUUGCCGGUCAUGCUCCUACGCAACAUCAACCAAGCAGCAGGCUUAUGCAACGGAACACAUGUCGGCGAUAAGGUAUACAUACCUCGAAUCAUCAUGUCACCAAGCGACUCAAAAUGGCCAUUCGUGCUGAAAAGAAGGCAAUAUCCAUUAUCAGUGUGCUUCGCAAUG
rnacentral:rRNA from 1 species